rnacentral:rRNA from 2 species
CUGCAACUCGCCUGCAUGAAGCUGGAAUCGCUAGUAAUCGCGGAUCAGCAUGCCGCGGUGAAUACGUUCCCGGGCCUUGUACACACCGCCCGUCACACCACGAGAGUUUGUAACACCCGAAGUCGGUGAGGUAACCUUUUGGAGCCAGCCGCCUAAGGUGGGACAGAUGAUUGGGGUGAAGUCGUAACAAGGUAGCCGUAUCGGAAGGUGCGGCUGGAUCACCUCCUUUCUAAGGA